UUCCAGACUCCUACGGGAGGCAGCAGUAGGGAAUAUUGCUCAAUGGGGGAAACCCUGAAGCAGCAACGCCGCGUGGAGGAUGAAGGUUUUCGGAUUGUAAACUGCUUUUAUAAGCGAGAAAUAUGAUGGUAACUUAUGAAUAAGGAUCGGCUAACUACGUGCCAGCAGCCGCGGUCAUACGUAGGAUCCGAGCAUUAUCCGGAGUGACUGGGUGUAAAGAGUUGCGUAGGUGGCAUAAUAAGUAGCUAGUGAAAUCUGGUGGCUCAACCAUUCAGACUAUUAGCUAAACUGUUAAGCUCGAGACCGUUAGGGGUAACUGGAAUUUCUAGUGUAGGAGUGAAAUCCGUAGAUAUUAGAAAGAACACCAAUAGCGUAGGCAGGUUACUGGGACGGUUCUGACACUAAGGCACGAAAGCGUAGGGAGCAAACGGGAUUAGAUACCCCAGUAA
rnacentral:rRNA from 1 species